rnacentral:lncRNA from 1 species
CCUUACCAUAUUGGUAUUGUGUAAUUCCUUAUAUAAAUGGCUCAUAUCAAUGAAUAAGAUGAUGAUUCUCUUGCUAUCUCUUUGUCUCUACACUUUAUCCUUCAUCAUUGUCCAAUUACAUGUGCAAUAAAUGAACUUUUUUUAUUAGGUUGAAGGCAACCUUUUUUUUUUUUUUUUUUGUAGGAAAAGGCAAUAAUGUUUGAGAAAGAAGUAUGCUCUUCUUUGUAUCCAAAAGGGGAAAAUACUAGAGAUUUGUCUACCGGUCGUAAGCAACUAAUGAAUGAUCUUAGGAACAUAGAAAUUCCCAAUUUGGAGAUCAUUUUAGGUUCCAUAAUCACAAUUUACACUUCUCCCAAUGAACCUAGCACAGGUAUUUGGCGCAGACAUCAUUU